rnacentral:rRNA from 1 species
AUGAUCAAACAAGUAUUGGGACAAGAAAAGCCUGAUAUUUCUUUUCGUAGGAACCUUUUUGGGCCACGCCUGGUAGCAUGGAAUGAGUUACUCAUUCGUCUGGAGGCCAUUCAGCUGUCAGGAGAACCAGACAAGUUUCGAUGGAAUUUGCAUCAGAACGGUAGCUUUUCAGUCAAAUCCUUGUAUGAUGCAAUGGCUGACACUGAUGUUCUGGUUGAUAACAAGAAAUUGCGAAAGCUCAAAAUUCCUCUAAGAGUGAACAUAUUCCUCAGUUUUUUAUGCAAAUGGGUCAUAUUAACUAGAGAUAAUCUGGCUCGACGCAAUUGACAAGGUAGUAAGACAUGUGUCUUUUGCCACCAUGACGAGUCCAUUAAACACUUAUUCUUUGAGUGUAAUUUUGCUCGUGCAGUCUGGGUCAUAGUUCAAGUAGCUUCAAAUCCAUACCCCCCACGUAGUGCACGAAACAUGUUCGACAAUUGGUUGCGGGGUAUCAAUAAACAAUUUUCUGCACAUCUACUCGUGGGGGCGACAGCCUUAUGUUGGCCACUGUGUCUUACCAGGAAUGAUUUGGUUUUUAACAAUAAAUGUGUUUCAUCUCCUGUGCAGGUUAUUCAUGCGUGUACGUGA